AAAUCAAAUUGGUAAUCACUGCUUGCAGAAGUUAUAGGGUUCUGUGAGAAGUUUUGCUGGAGAAAAUUGGAAGGGCAACCCACUUCACAAGGUAUUUCUGGGAUGGAAAAAGUAACAUCUGCCACUGACAUGAAGUAUUGUUCUGAACAAGAUACUGGACUAGAGCUGUGCUCCUUACCUAAACCAGCCUCUUCAGCAAGCUGGAAUUCUUCCCUUGUAUGUAAAACUGCAUUACCUAAGCCACUUGCAGUCUGAGAGCAGCCAGCAACAAUUGACUCUUGACUGCAUUCUGAUAUUUCCUCUGUUUCUGUUCCACAUUUUGGACCAGUAUCAUCUCCACUGCUUUGCACCCAUGAAGAAGAUGAAGGCAUAGGCUGAUUUUUGUGUGCAACAAAAGGGAGGCCUUGGAACUGUUCUAAUAAACCAGAUGCCAAGUAAGAGUCCAAUUUCUUUUUCACAGAACUGUUCCAGUGAUUUUUUAUAGCAUUGUCUGUCCUUCCAGGCAAGAACUUUGUAAGCUCUGCCCAUCUGUUCCCAUAAAUCUGAUGAGCACGAAUCAAGGCCAACUCCUCCUGCUGGGUCCAUGCCUCUUUGUUUAUUGAAGGAUUAAGAUGAUUAUGCCACCUUUCUCUGCACUGUUUUCCAAUUCGUCCAGGUAAAUGAUGUGCAAUUGUGGACCACUUCUUUGGCCCAUAUUUGUUCACCAUUUCAAUUAUUAUUUCAUCCUCCUCCUUUGACCAUGGACCUUUAACAAGCUCUGGAUUUAAGACCUUCUGCCACCUAUGAAGGCAUUGUACAUCUGUCCGGUCCUUGAAACACUCAGCAAUCUUUUUCCAGUUC
rnacentral:misc_RNA from 1 species